rnacentral:sRNA from 2 species
GCCCGCAUAGAACCUCUAACACAUUCAUCUAUACAGAUUACUUGUUUAUUAUAGUUCUACUUGAAACUUUCUUUACAAAGCAGAGCAGUACAAACAAAACAGAAAUCUAAACAGUCAGAGCACUGCUUUCCAGCAGAGGAGGAGAUGACCCCUUCAGCAGCAACUGAUGUGGCCGCGACAGUGGGAAUGUGCAGAGGUCCUUGAGCUUGCAUUUGGAGAUGCUACAUCCAUCUUUGUAUGCAGCAACUCAGCAGCAAGAAUAAGAAUCCCCAGACUUGACUAUCUGAGCUCUUCUCUUCUCAGAGUACACUCAACAUUCCUCAUCAUUCUCUUGACAGACAGCACACCUGUCCUUCCCCAGCAGCUGCUCACUCAGCUUCAUCUUCAUUAUUCAGUCAAUAUGACUCCAUACUCUCUGCUUCUGAGGAGAGAAGCACUGGAACUCCUCAUGGG